rnacentral:siRNA from 1 species
ACCAACAGCUUUGGGAGAGCCGA